rnacentral:misc_RNA from 1 species
AACGCACAUUGCGCCCCCUGGUAUUCCGGAGGGCAUGCCCGUUUCAGAAUCAUUAAGUAUCUCACACCAACCUUUCUUGGGGUCCACACCCCGAGGAUGGUGACGUGUGGAACCUGGACGUUUUUGCGCCUUUCCUUUGGUGCAAUCGUCUGAAAAUGAUUGUUCGUGCUGCCGGUCCAGUUGGUCUGCCCUCGAAGUGAAACAGAAUCAAAUGAGUCGCUUAGAGGCUGGCCGAAGGGACCGCGAGCUACGUACUCCAACCAACCACUGAUGGGUCUCCUCUUUGGGGAGGCCUUUCUGAUAACUUGGUCUGAAAUCGGGCAAGAAAACCCGCUGAACUUAA